ACUAAACUAUCGGUCAUCACUAAGAACAAAAAAACGUAAACCAAGAUACAUACCUUCAAAUAUUGACGGAAAAAUUGAUUAAAUUUGGUUGCUAUCGAUGACCUAGCCAAGCGCUCCCACCUAGCCAUGGAUGCCCUUAAGAUGCUGCAGGGCACAACCCAUUCUCGGUCGGUAGGAGCCCCUUCCUCGCGACUACGACAGUUCCAUCUCCCCCAAAAAAUCACUCACACAUUGUGGUUUUUACAAAUGUUUAAUGAAUAUGCCGAAUACUUGUCCGCCGUCAUAAAUAUUAACGCGGUCAAAGCAGAGGAUUUGUUUUGCUGGAAAAAGGCAACAGGCGUCGCGGAAAGUUAUGCUCUACCAGUCACUUAUUGGUAGAGCCUCAAAAGGAACAUACGCGAUGCGUGUGUGUAUGGCAAACGACGAGGACAAAUAAGGCUCUCGGGUCUAAAUCCGGAUAAAUUCACAAUUAGUCAGGGAAGUAAAUAUAGUAAUCCAGGUACAAAUGUAUUUAAUUUUCCCUAAAUUUCAGCCACUAUUGGUCCGGGCCUGGAGGGCGAUUAUAGCCCGGGCUGGAGACUUCUCGCCGGAGGCCAGCAGUAAUACGGGUCUCAGCAAACAAAAACUGGCGUUGCGCAAGGGCAGUCCAAAGUUCGGCUGCCAGACAAAUCGGCGGUACGUGGUAUUCCGGAUCGGACUCACCGGGAAAUGCUGGAUGUCGUCGGCGUCGACUGCGAAAGGCGUUUAUGGCUGGUCACGGUCACUUUUAUGGCGGAUCGAACGGACACCGGUUGCUGGCAGCCAAAUCGUGGCUGAUAUGAAUGGCGAAAUCGCGCAGAAAUCCGUGGAACUCCCAAUUGUAUCUUAAAACUUUCAGCUGCAUCUGCCUGGUUAGUCAAUAUAGCUGCGACUAUACUGAUAUCUGCUGAUCAUCUUCGUUCCUCCCCCACCAUAUUACAUGACCUCUCCCAAAAUUGGGUCAUUGGAUACAUGAGUGCCAUUUAAGGUAAUCUCAGAGCGAACCGCGAUUAAUCCUCAAAUAACCAGAUCGCCCUAUCGACCUAACCUGUCGAUAGAGUUCGUCCCAUAAUCGACUCCAAUUGCAACAUUAACCAAAGAUUUCGAGAGGUGCUUCCCGGAGUUUCAGCAGAACGACGAAAUAAUUGGUACCUUUGGAGAUAGGAUGGGACUCAACACGGCACUGAUACCAUCCUGCAGUUCGAUCGGCGCCUAAGGCGGGUCCACGCAUGACGGGAACUUUAGCAGAUGUGAUCGCGAUGCUCGUAUACUUUGUUUCUCCUUAUUUCAGAUCACAACCGGAUGUCUUUGGCGUGAUACACUCCCAGACUACACUCCUCCAGCAAGAAUGCAUUGCUGCCGACGGAUUUGACCACCCUGGCUUUUAAGAAUUUGCGAGCAAACUUGGCGUUAAAAGAUUUGCUGAAAUCACUUAGCACGAAGUUGCGGCGGAAGACUUCUUGCCCCGGCUUGGCGAGCAACGUACGGGCUCGCUUAUCAUAGCGUUGCCGGCUCAUCUCGUAUGCCCCCUCCAGUUGCUUCUGCACUUUGGCUUGGAUUAUUUGAAGCUUGUCCUUGGUCUGCAUUCCGGCAAUUUCAUGGUCGACCAGGGACCUGAGUCGUCUGGCUAGCUUGUAACUGAUGGCCAAAUACGGUGAAGAACGAUGGCCACCUCAAUCUCCGGCAGGUGUGCAUCCCAUUCCCGGUGACAUUCCCGGUCAAGACAUUCCUGUUAACUCUCUUCGCGGCAUUGCUCUGUGGUGAGUAUACUGGAGUCUUCAUGUGCUGUAUACCGAAGCCAUCGAUCAUCUCCUCAAACGCCUUGGAUACGAACUGUUUGCCGUUGUCCGAAUGUAUCGUAAAACUUGUAAAAUAUCUGGUUUACCAGGAAAUUCACUACGUUCGUCGCCGUCGCCUCCUUCAUCGCCUUUAAGAAGGUGUACUUUUAGAAAUGGCCCACCACGAUGAAUAUCCACGCGUGAUCACUCUUGGACCUCGGAUACUUGCCCAGAAAAUCGAUGUAGAGUUUCUGGAAUGGCCUUUCCGUCCCUACUCUUCGUCCGAUUCCGACCUGCAUCCUGAAGUUUGCACACCUCGCAACCCCGGAUAGGCAUUCCUGGCCAAUAGAACUAACGUCGCAGGGUGUCCAAGGUCUUCGUCAUUUCAACAUGGCCAUCAUAGGGGUCCGAAUGCGUCAGGUGUAGCGCUUGUAGUGAAUAUCGUAAGUUGGGAGGAGGUGGGGUGCAUGCAGAAAGGGGGAGGAGAGCAACAGACCUUAAUGUCAACCUGAUUUGUGGCACCUCCCAGAUUCGCUAUGGGGUUACAGGCAGAAAUAUGGCGGCAUAAUCGGUCUUUCCAAUUUCGACCGUCUCACAGUCAAGAAGUGUUUUCUAAAGUGUCUUGUUAAGUCUUAAAUUAUAAAAUAACGAGAGCAAAAGUUCGGCUUGCAGCCACAAAGAUUAGUUCAGCGCUAAGUCCAAUUGGGCGAGUGGAGAAAUCGAAGAAUAUUCCAGUUGUAUUUAUUAGGGAAGGUAGCGAUUCCGACCCCAUAAAGUAUAUAUAUUCUUUAAGAGGAUCACUAGCCGAGUCGAUCUAGCCAUGUCCGUCUGUCCGGAUAAACGCUGAGAUCUCGGAAACUAUAAGAGAUAGGCUAUUGAGAUUUGGCAUGCUGUAGUAUGCAUGUAUCAUUGUAGCGAGUACCCACUGUACCGACACCAACAUUGUGUUACAGUGUACUCAACCAAAUACAAAAGUGCCGGCCGCUAAACUCUUGCGGCCAGCCGAAAUAUGAAUGCGCCUCAGAGCCCAACUUAUGGGAAGUGCUAGUGUCAGCAUAUUCCCAUGGCCUGAGUGCAGACACAUACAAGGCAUGCAUAUACAACUGCUCUCGCGCUCUUGGUGUUACCAGCACAAAUACAAUUGUGAGCAUAUACUUUGAUAUAUACAUGACGGCCGCUGCCAAUGUUUGCAGGCAGCGCAGCCGCAAUUAGCUAGCUGUAAGUCACUCGAAUUAUGACCAUCAAUCAAUAAAGAACAAGCUUGGCCGUUGGCCACUAUAA